rnacentral:tRNA from 1 species
GGAUCGUCUAGUGGUAGGACGGCGGACUCUGGCUCCGUUAACGAGGGUUCGAAUCCUUCUCC